GCCCUUCGCCUCGCAGAUUUUACCGCCAGUGAUGUAGGCUCCUUGGUGCGUCCUAAUUGGAAGAAGCCACGCUCCCGAGUAUUAGGAAGGGACGGAGAGUCUUAUUUGCGUUCCCAUUGUUUGUGGGUCACCUAAGGAGACCCUGGAGCCGGGAACUCUUGCUUGGUUAGUGUUUGCUUUCCGCCUCUGGGAGGAAACGCAGACUUUAAGCUUUAAAAAAAAAAAAAAAAAAAAAAAAACUUAGUCCCCCUCCAUAGUAAAUGCAUUUGAAAGCUCCAAUUGUAAUGGACCGGCGAUUUCUCUUGACCUGUUAUUUUGAGACAAGGUUUCUUUAGUUCAUGAUAGACUGGACGUAUAGUGAAGUCUCCAAGCUUCCUGGAAGUAAGGAUUGCAGGGGAGAGGUACCACGUCUUCUCAUUUUGUUCCAGCCCAACAUGGCCUACAGAGUGAGAUCCUGUCUUAAAAAACAAGAGAAGGCUGAAAAAAUGGCUCAGCACCUGCUGCUCUUCCAGAAGACCCAGUCACAGGACAUCUACGCUUCUUACAAUUUCCUCAUCUGAAAUGCAUCACGAUCCUCUCGGUCAAGGGAAAUGUCAGGCUUCCUCAUCAGCCCCGCCUCUAGACGUCUCGCCCAAUCUCUGCAGUUGGUCUUCUUUCCACCAGCCUUCCUCUUUAACAUUUUUUAUCAGUCCGGCAUAUGAGAUUUUAAUGGCUCUGUUGCAGCUUUCUCUUCUUCAGUCAGUAGAGUUAGCUAGAAAAACAAAUAACAAAAUGUUUAUUUCAAAACCUUCAAAGGUUGUUAAACGAGUUAAAUUUUGCUUCAUUGCACAAACGUUUUCAUAAUCUUAUACUACAUAUUUAGUCUUGAAAUUUGAAAGGCAAGGGAAAACAAUAGCCAUCUGGCUAUUUAUAUACUGUAGUUGGGCUUUCAAAGAACUUGCAAUUAGGCUGUACAAACAAGAUCAAGAAAUCAAACAAAGGACUAUCAUUUAACAGAACUAAAUGUAUGUUUGAAUACCAUAUUUGGAAAAGAGAUUUAGACCAAAACAGUAGGAAUUUUACCCAGAGAAAUAACUGUGUGCUGAAUUUUGAAGACCCCAUCUCAAAAAAAAAAAAAA
rnacentral:lncRNA from 1 species